UACGUAGGCAGCGAGCGUUGUUCGGAGUUACUGGGCGUAAAGCGUGCGUAGGCGGUUGUCUAAGUUUGGUGUGAAAUCUCCUGGCUUAACUGGGAGGGUGCGCCGAAAACUGGGUGACUGGAGUGCCGGAGAGGUAAGCGGAAUUCCUGGUGUAGCGGUGAAAUGCGUAGAGAUCAGGAGGAACACCUGUGGUGUAGACAGCUUACUGGACGAUAACUGACGCUGAGGCACGAAAGCGUGGGUAGCAAACAGG
rnacentral:rRNA from 1 species